CUUAAGUUAGGUAUCCUACUUCAUUUAUUUCAGUAUACAAGACACCAUGAAAACACGAUUUCUUCGUCAGUCUCCUUCUCUCCCCGAAACACAGAUACCAUCCUCUUCAUCCACAGCCAACCCUCAUCCAUUAAUCGAAGCGCGCCCAGCUACUCACCUAAGUGCCCAGUGGAUUUCACCCUCUCUCCACUGAAACCCAUUCCUCAGAUCCCUAAUCAUCAAUCGCAGAACAAUGGCGAAGCAAUCUAAAGCCAAGAAAUCAGAGAAUUUGGGAAAGUGUACAGUCACCCCCGUCCAGAUCGCCUUCCUCGCCAGCCAGUUUCUCUUUGAUAACAGCUACACCGAAGCCUGCUUUGUUUUCUGAACUGAAGCCUCCUCACUCUUCUCUACGUCUCCGAUUCAAGAGGUGCCGAAGAGCCUGCUGAGUUUGUCUGAGAUUCUGAAAAGUACAAAGCAUUGGUGGGGAGCAGAAGAUGAUUCGCGAAGCCAACGGCGACCCGACAAGGCUAACAAGCCGUUCAUGCGCUCCUCCAUCGAGCAACCCCAAUAAAUAUAUAUUUAAUUGUUCUAUUUGAUUGUUAUGGUUAUAUGGUUGUCUUUUAUUUUGGGAAGAUAAGAAGGGAGCAGUGGCCGACUAAAGGAGAGUGGAGGAGACGGGAAAAGGGAGAGGAGAAGAGAAGAUGAAGAAAAAAAGAAAAAAAAAGAAAGAAGAAUUAGAGCCAGAGCGAGCCAGAGAGAGAUAUAUAUAUAUAUAUAUAUAUAUAUAGAGAGAGAGAGAGGAAGAGAAGAGAGUUUGGAGAGUUUGGGUUUUUAUCAAAGGCUACGAAUUAGGUAGUUUGGUUUUGAGGGGAGAGAAGCUAAAGGGUUUAGAUUGAUUUUCAGAGGCAAAGAUGAGAUUUGAGAGUUUGGUUUUCUGGUUUUGAUCAGGUUUGUAGAAAGGCAAAAGGGGAGAAAGUUUCGGAAGUGGAGGGCUUUGUUUUGGGUUGUUUACUGUCUAUGUUUGCCUUGCUUUACGAGAUGUGUUGAGCAAAUGAAGCUACCAAGAAAGAAAUUCCCAGAUCAAAACACUUCAUCAUCAAAUACUUGGAAAAUGAGGAUUAGCAAAUAGAAACUAUUUAUGCUGCAGAGUUUCUGAAAACAUUCCAAACUUUGCCAACAUUUGGGAAUCUCAAGCAAUUGAACUUGGACCUCCUUUCAUACCAAAGUAAAAGUAAGGAAGAUUACAUUUCAGGUGUCAAGCUUAAUGAUGCUUCAGAGAAGUUAGGAAGAAGUUUGUUACAGGAGCUUCUGUUGUUAAGUGUGUCAAACUUAAUCGGCUUGCACUUCAUCUAGAUUCUCAUAUUGCUUCAUCCUCCAUGGCAUAUUAACAAGCAAUGGGAAGAUUUGCUUCUAUCAGAGUUUGUUCAGGUUUUUAGAUUUGGAACCAUUGGUACUAAAGAUGGUAAACCAGUGAAUAAAUUGAAUAAGAAGCAUACUUAUGUUGCAGAAUCAUUUUCUGGCAAUCUACAUUGUCAAAAGAAAAUUCCACAAGAAGAGAAUUACAUUAUCAAAGCUAAACUUACUGAUGAGCGUGUUCAAAAGUCCAAUUCAUUGUUCCCUUAUGAGCUUCAAGAGAUUGUCCAUGCUAAGGCAGAGCUGUCAGCUCCAUCGAGUAUUGGGUGAUAUUUUGUACACUUGUUCCUUUCUCUUCUCCCAGUGCUAUGCGUAUGUAUAAUGCUGAAAAGAAUAAGCAAAGCCGGACUUCAGUCCAUUGGAAAAAUUUGGCUGGCAUUCCUCCCCAACCUGGCAACAAGGAGUGCGGGUACUUUAUCAUGCGAUACAUGAGAGAUAUCAUUGAGGAUAAAGACAUGUCAUUGUUUCCUUCCAAGUGGGAGAGGAGAGGCAGCAGCCAAUACACCCAAGCGGAUAUUGAUCAAGUGUGAAAUGAGUGGAGGAAGUUUGUUGUCAACACAUAUGUGCACGAGUCAUGAAGUAGCGCACUUGUUGCUGGUACAUUUUAGAUAAGGAAAGCAUCUUUUUUGUGCUUCUCUGCUGGUACAUUGUCAUGCACCAUGUGUGACAUGUUUUGGAACAAUAUAUAUGUGUAUCAGCUUUUUGAUGUCCCAAGUAGAUGGGCAUGCACUAGAAUGUUUUUCUUGUGUAAAAUGUUGGUUUCAAUGAUUGGGAAAUGCAUCCCUUUUGCUUUUGAAGUUUAAA